CACUGAACCACGAACCUCAAAGGAGCCUAAACUCUCCCAGUGACUGGAACAUCUUGAUGUAAUGAUUCAACACAAUCAUGACUUCCAUGAGAGCUUAAUAAGGAAAAGUAGAAGAAAAAAAAAAGAAAGCUAAGAAGACACUGGUUUUCAUGCAAGAGUAAAACACCAAAGAGUUGGGUACCUAACAACAGAAGAAAAUCAAACCCAAAGGCUUGCCAAAAGUCACACAGUAAUUCAGGUAUGAAUCAUGGAACCAUCACAGAGAUCUCCAAGAUAAGAAGUCCAGUUCUGACUGGCAGCUGUUCUUCAGUCCCAGAUGGCAGAACAUGAAGUGGUGUCAGCCUGCAACUCCCAUGUGGAAGGUGCUUUGCCUUAUACAUCUCUGAAAACAAGUGAGG